UCCGCUUAUGCCCUUGUCAAUCAAGACUAUGGCCACCAACCGGCACCGUAGCCCUAGGCCUCCGCCUUCUUCCCUGUCGGAAGGAGGAUGUCUGUCGGUCGCCCCAUCGAGUAGAGAUAGUGAAGUGGGGUGUGUCAGUCCCCAGACCGCUGCCAAGUGUGUGCCAUCAUACCCCACAUUUAUUUACCUGUUGACCAGCCUUUGGGUACUUUCUACUUCCUAUUAUGAACAAUGCUGCCACAAUGCUGCUGUAGAAAACUAUCACCAGAUGUGAGCCCUUGAACAGCUAUGCACUAAAUAAACAUCUUUUCCUCAUAAAGUUAUACAGCCUUGAGUAUUUUGCUAUAGUAUCACAAAAAGGACUAAGCCAAUUGAAAGUUCAAUUGUUAGGUCAUAUUGUAACUUUAUUAUUUACACGUAUUUAUUUGAGAGAGAGAGAGAGAGAGAGAGAGAGAGAGAGAGAGAGAGAGAGAACCACUUUACUUUCUCAUCAGCAGUACAUGAACGUUCUAAUUUCUCUAUACUGGUAGUUUAAAAGUAAUUGGCCCCAUUAUCUCAUAGGGAGUAGUGCUAUUAAGAGGUUGCCUUUGUUGGAGUGAGUAUGGCCUUGGUUGGUGAAAGUGUGUCACUGUGGGGGUGAGUUUUGAGGUUCCCUAUGCUCAGGAUACCACCCAGUGUCUCAUUUGACUUCCUGUUGCCUGCAAGAUGUAGGACUCUCAGCUACUACUCCAGCAUCAUAUCUGCUUGCAGGCCACCAUGCUCCCUGUCAUGAUGAUAAUGGACUGAACCUUUGAACUGUAAGUGAGCCACCUCAAUUAAAUGUUUUCUUUAUAAGAGUUGCCAUGGUCAUGGUGUCACUUCACAGCAAUAAAAACCCUAACUAAGACAAUUACUGUUCCAAAACAUAGUGAAGGGAGCAUAGUAAAGAAAUACUGGACCAAAGCAAGACUGAAAACCAGCUGGCAAACUCCAAACUCUGCAUCUCCAUGUCUGAUGUUAACACACUCUUCAGAUCUCCAACUCCAUUCAGUUUUGUGGACUGCAACACACUUCUUUCUCUUGGGCUGGUUCCAUUCCCUGUUAGCACCUUUCCUCGACAGGUAUCCCACGGCUCUGGCAUCUCUAACAUCUUGAGUUCUCCAAAGCAAUCCAGGCUUCAACUUCACAGCUUCAUGCAAUGGCCUCUCUACUAGGCCUUCAUUCAGGGACACUCCUGACACAUGCCUGGUCUCAGCGGCUUUCUUUAGGCACAGAGCAAAUUCCAUAACUCCUUUCUUCUAUCCUUAACUCUAAAGCCACAUGGCCAAAGCUGCCAAGUUCUGUUGUUUACUAGGGUUGGAACAUGACUCCCUAGUUCAAGCACAUCUUUACCAGCUUUCUAUCCUUCACUGCCUAAGCUUGGCUGUCCUGAAACUGGAUCUCUAGACCAGGCUGUCAUCAAACUCAGAGAUUGCCAGCCUCUGACUUCCCAGUGCUAGGAUUAAAGGUGCCCACCACACCUGGCUCUAAGCUUUUCUUUAGUUUCUUUUCACAAAUUGGAAACUUAGCUGAGUGGGAUCUUGCCCUGAGGUCACCGUGCCCUAUAUUCCAUUUCCUAAUCCGUUUAUCUCCUUAAUCAUAGGAUUUAGCUCCAUUCCACUUCCUGGUGCUCUUUUUCUCCUCAAAAUUUACAGUUUGUAAUUUACCCUGCUCAGCUUGCUCCUUUUCAUUAAUAAUAUUUAUUAAGCAUGAACACUAGUAACCAUACGAUAGUCUACAACUAGGCUGUUUUGAGAUUUCUUCUGUCAAUGGAAUUAAUCCAAAACUCUUCACUUUAAGCCUCAGGCAGACUCUUCUGACAAGAGCAAAAGGCAGCCACUUUCUUCACCAAAAUAUGACCAGGGUGUCAUCAAACUCGGAGGUUGCCAGCCUCUGCCUCCCCAUUGCUGGGUUUAAAGGAGUGUGCCACCACCAUCUGGCUUGUGAACUAAUAUCUUACUAUGGCUUAUUUUGCUAAUGAUCAAUUAUGUUGAUUAUCUCUUUGUGUAUUCUUACUGCCCAUUGAAUAUCUUAUUGGGAUAAAUGCCUAUUCAAAUCCCUUUUCCAUUUUUAAUAGUAGCUCAUUUACCCCUUUUAUGAUUGAGUUGAAAAUAGUCUUUGUGUGAGAUAGGCUUUCAUGUAUCCCAGGCUGGCUCUGAAAUUACUGUGUUGGAGAACGGAUCUGAACAUUUGCCUCCUAAGUGCUGGAAUGAUGUAGAGCUGGGGAAUCACACCCAGGGCCUCGAGCAUGCUAGGCAACACUCUGUCCACCGAAGCACAUCCCAAGUCCUGUAAAUGUUCCUUAUAUAGUCUGGGUACUUGUUAGAUAUAUGAUUUGCUAAUAUUUUCUCCAACUUUAUGAGUUGUUUUUCUUGUUGAUGGUUCAUCGAAGCAAAAACAGUUUACUUUUGAUAUAAUCUAUUUUUCUUUGGUUGUUUUAUGUGACAUUAUAAGAAUGCAAUACAUUUUAAUUAAAAAUGUUUAUAUAGA